CCAACAGAAUUCAGGAUAUCCUGG
rnacentral:siRNA from 1 species